rnacentral:rRNA from 1 species
GGAUUAGAUACCCUGGUAGUCCAUGCCGUAAACGUUGGGCACUAGGUGUGGGGAACAUUUCCACGUUUUCCGCGCCGUAGCUAACGCAUUAAGUGCCCCGCCUGGGGAGUACGGCCGCAAGGCUAAAACUCAAAGGAAUUGACGGGGGCCCGCACAAGCGGCGGAGCAUGCGGAUUAAUUCGAUGCAACGCGAAGAACCUUACCAAGGCUUGACAUGCACUAGAUCGCCCUAGAGAUAGGGUUUCCCUUCGGGGCUGGUGUACAGGUGGUGCAUGGUUGUCGUCAGCUCGUGCCG